GUUUUCUCUUUUCAGAUCAAUUUUCAUCAACUCUCAUACUUUUAUUCUCCCCCCCCCUUCACCAUUUUCUCUUUUCAGGUUCAUUCUCAUCAAUAUAUGUUUUUCUUCAAGAUUAUGUCGGUUUAUAGCGAUCGAAGGAUCAAAUUCGAGAAUUAUGAGAAGGAGCCCGAGUAUGGAACCGUGGAUACAAUCACAAGACAUGAACUGUGGUCCAAGCUUAGUUAAAACAGGCCCACUAUUAGCUUCUAAAUCGACCCAUUAAGGCUGACUCGGGAGCGAAGAAUGGAUGAAUGGAUUUUAGGAUGCCGGUUAAUCUUGGUAGCUCGCGGAUUAAGACUACUACGCAAGUCCAUUAUAGUACUGGACUACUGGCAAUGAGAUGAAUUAUGGCAUUUCAAGGACAACCAGUUUCCUUGUAUGAGUAGUAGAGGCAGCAAAAGCCACCGCAAAGGCGGCCUGUGAUGCCAACGGAAUAGAAUCCCUUGCAUCAGAUCAUAAGCUAAAUGGAGCAGCUGGGAGAAAAAGUUUCAGAAAGAGGAAAGAGGGGAACAAAACCAAGUAUACGAAAGGUAUAGAGGAGUAAAAUUUCAUUUGAGGGAUAUAGAGAAGUAGAUACUGCACAACUGCACUGGAAGUUUGAGAACCCAAGCCUGCUUUCCCGAGAUAUGAGGAAGAGGAUUUCUCACUGCAAAGGAACAUGUGAAAGUGUUUUUCCAGCAUUUCUUUCUUUUCCUAUUGAUGGAUUCUAAAUUGUAAAUGAUAUUUCCACAAGAUUUGGUAGACCUGGCCAUCGAAUUAUCUGAUUUCCUUUGCUAUAUGUCUUUUGUGUGUUUUGUUUCUAUAAAAUUUUGCA